rnacentral:rRNA from 1 species
AUACCGGCUGCUCGAGUGAUGGCCACUAUUACUGGGUUUAAAGCGUCCGUAGCUUGACUGUUAGGUCUCUUGGGAAAUCUUUUGGCUUAACCAAAAGGCGUCUAAGAGAUACCGGCAUUCUUGGAACUGGGAGAGGUAAGCCGUACUUCGGGGGUAGGAGUGAAAUCUUGUAAUCCUCGAGGGACGACCUAUGGCGAAGGCAGCUUACCAGAACAGCUUCGACAGUGAGGGACGAAAGCUGGGGGAGCAAACGGGAUUAGAUACCCAGGUAGUCCCAGCCGUAAACAAUGUGCGUUAGGUGUGUCGGUUACCACGCGUAACUGAUGCGCCGAAGAGAAAUCGUGAAACGCACCACCUGGGAAGUACGGUCGCAAGGCUGAAACUUAAAUGAAUUGGCGGGG